rnacentral:ncRNA from 1 species
UCAACGACGAUGAAAAGAAGAGUAGUUUACAUCUCCUUUGUAGAGAGUCCUUGUUUGGUGAAAAAGGGUAAGUGGCUGUAAAUGAAGAUGGUCUUGGAGUUUUAUAGGCGAUAUUUAGUCUAUAGCGGGUGCGCCCGUUAGAGCGCUAGAGUAUGAUGGUACUCGAUGAGGUUAUUAUUGUGAGAUAAUAAUGAAUUAAGGUGGUAACACGGGUUAGAACUCGUCCUUUGU